UAAACCUAAAUAAAGGAGCAGAGCAGGCUUUAUUCUUUGAUCUCAUUUGUAUUCACUGGGAGCUCACUAUGUGUCAAGAUUUGGGGUACAGAAGUGCACGAGAAUUUAUGGUCAAGUUAAGAAGAGACUGAUGAUGAACAGAAACGUACCAUGACAUACUUUGGUGACUACAAUGAAAAAGUAGCGUGAGGGAAUAUUCUUUCAAUAAAAGUUUAUUUAAUGCCUACUAUGUAGGGGGAAGGUAAAUAGUUGGGGAGUAGUCCUGGAAGGACUUUAUAUCUAAUCUGAGGAAUUUAUAUUUAGUCUAAGACCUGAAGGAUGAGUCCAAGUGAAGCAGGAGAGAUGGGCACUGUUUCCUAAAAUGCGGGAUAAAUAAGCCAUUUGGGAUAAAUGAAAGGAUCCAAGGAUGCAUAUAUCGGUCAUUAAAUAACACUGAAAGGCAGGAGUGAAGGCUUCACUUUCCAAAUAUCAUCCAAAGAAAGAAAUGGGAAAAGACUCAAAGUGAAAUGGUUUGCCUAAGGCCACAGAAAGGGUUGAUGACAGAGGAAGAAGAAUUACUCAAGCUUUCCUAAUUCCUACCUCAGCCCUUCUUUCU